rnacentral:rRNA from 1 species
UGCAGUCUGCAACUCGACUGCACGAAGCUGGAAUCGCUAGUAAUCGCGGAUCAGCACGCCGCGGUGAAUACGUUCCCGGGCCUUGUACACACCGCCCGUCACACCAUGGAAGUCUGCAAUGCCCGAAGCCGGUGGCCUAACCACUUAUGUGGAAGGAGCUGUCUAAGGCAGGGCAGAUGACUGGGGUGAAGUCGUAACAAGGUAAC